GCAAGUCGAACGGUAAUUACACUUUCGGGUGUAAACGAGUGGCGCACGGGUGCGUAACGCGUAUGAAACCUACCCUGUACAGGGGGAUAGCCCGUGGAAACAUGGAUUAAUACCCCAUAGUAUUAUUUUAUUGCAUGAUAGAAUGAUUAAAGAUUUAUUGGUACGGGAUGGUCAUGCGUCUGAUUAGCUAGAUGGUGAGGUAAUGGCUCACCAUGGCGACGAUCCCUAGCUGGUCUGAGAGGAUGAUC
rnacentral:rRNA from 1 species